rnacentral:rRNA from 1 species
GGUAUUUUGACUAUACAAAGGUAUUGUAAUAAGAUUUUAAUUGAAUGCUAAGAGAAAGGAUAUACAAAAAAAAUCUUUUUUAAAUUCAAAAAUUUAAGUUAUUUUUGUUUGUGAAGAAACAACAAUAAAAAUUAAGGACAAGAAGACCCUAAGAAUUUUUAAUUAAUAAUUAUUAAUAAUAAAUAAUUAUUAAUUUUAAUUGGGGCGAUUAAUAAAAAUUAAAAACUUUAUUAUAAAAUAAAAUGAACCAUUAAUAAUGGUUUUUUGAAAAAAAUACUCUAGGGAUAACAGCGUAAUAAUUUUAGAUAGUUCAUAUAGACAAAAUAGUUUGCGACCUCGAUGUUGGAUUAGGUUACUAAUUUAAUGUAGAAGUUAAAUAAAGGAGUUUGUUCAACUUUUAAAAUCCU